AUCCAUGAUCUUUCAACAUGUAGUGUCCGACAGUCCAUGUUAUUUCGAUGUACCUUUUCUUCUUAUAGUAACCGAAUAUAUUUUACAUGGUUUUAUUUCCUAUCAUCGUAUAAAGUUUCUUCAUUAGCAUCUAAUGGCAGCAUCUCUUUUAUAUGGAAGAUUGGAUGGAUAGAUUUUUCACUUUGCUGGAAGAUCGUGUUUAAUUUUACUUGGAUUUGAAUUGAGAAGAGCUUGUUUGAGCUGCCUUUGACUUGGCUGCUGCUACUUUCUAAAUUGAAUUUUAGCCUUAAGCCUAUUUCCCAUCCUCCUCUUUUCCCUCACUUUGACUUUCAUUGGAUUGAGGAAUUAGGAGCUGAAACUUUUGAGAUUGUUGCAUUUCCUAAGACACGACAAAAAGGAAGAUAUAAUAAAUAUUAAAAAAAAAAAACAUAUCUUGCAAUUUAUGGGGUAAUUUGGCAUCCGCUGGGAAGUCAAGUCUCUCAUCACAAGCUUGGGAAUAGGGGGCUGCUUCUGGCCCUAGCUUCUCUUUAUGUGGCUUUGGUGCUAAACAACUUGUUGGGUUGAAAGUCCUAAGCCACAAAAGAAGUGUGGAUAAAAGUUCCUCAAAAUAACCUCCAAAUAUUUUAUUUUAUUUCAAUCAGACAAUUAAGCUGCUUUGGAGUGCAUCUUUUUCACUUUGGGAUUUGAUUCAGCAGUUUGUUACUCGACUUCAGUGGUCGAUAGGAGGUGGCAUAAACUGUUGACCAUACAGACUGUGCUUUAAUUGGCCAUGAAGUGCAUUUAUUGUUAAAACUAUGGUGUAUAAAUAUCCCUGUAGUAAUCUCCAAAGAAAUGUAUAUAAUGGGAAGUAUUCAACAUAAUUUUUUGAUAAGUUAAAUUUGGAGAGGCUUAUUAUUAUGGUAGCUUAGCUGUCUAGGCCACUGCAUUUGAUUCAGGGCUUAACAGCGAAAGAAAUGGAAGAGCUUCACGGUGACAUCAAAAUGCAUCUCUAUUUGGACACAUCAAAAUGCAUCUCUAUUUGGACACAGAGACACUGACAUAUGUUGAGUACUGGAAGCUAAUAUGCUUUUUUUUAUAUUUUAUAUUUUCAUGCGAAUGGUCUAGAGAUCUUUCAUUUAGUCUCUAAUCGUCAUUAUAUGGCUCACUUCUCAGCAUCCUUGAUUUUGGUAUCUAUGCUAGUCAUGGAAUUGCUACAUGAGCUCUAAGAGAUCAUUGACGCUUAACAUGGUCUUUUGGUCUUUGAGCAGUGCGAGGAUGUUACCUGAAAGUAGUGUCUAAAAGGGUGAAUUAUUCAGAGUAGCAUAGGAAAAGUUGAACUCUGGGUCUGCAGAUUCUUAUCUCUUUAUCUUACCGAGCACGCACUUUGGGAGCUGGCAGAAGCCAGGAAAAAGGAUGCACUUUAUCGAGCCAGAGGGUGUGGGGAGGAGCCUCCUGCUGAGUUGCUUGCAGAAGAAGGGGAUACGUACUCUAGCAUCCAAGCAGAUGUGGGGAUUAUCCGCAUAAGAAGACCAACCGAGAAUACAUGCUGGUAUGCUGGUGUUGAGACUCAAUUGCAUACCGGCACAGCUAUAAGGUCAUGGAGUUUUGGGAAGUUAUCUUCAAUUGCAUCCACAUAGACAAGGCAAAGGCUUUCAAGAAAGAAUUUCAUGAGAAAAUUUUGCGCAAGCAUCUUCAACGUCUGUGGAUGUCGUUGAUAAUCCAGAAACUGCUAGUGUCCUCAGUCCUAUAUACAAGAAGAUGAAGGAUCCAUAUAGCCGGAACCAUUGAGAUGAUGGAGUCAGAAGAGGGGGCUGGAUCAUUUUCCCGGGGCAGGGUGAUGAAACUCAAGGGAACGUUGACCCUGAAGAGGACAGGGCUGCAUUGGAAAAUUCCUUUCUCCCUGCAGACCAGACUGUUGCUUAGUGCAAACAUAGUGCAAACUGAGUAAGGUUGUGCAUCUAACCAGAGGUCUCCGGUAUAUAAUUUUAGGAACGGAAAAGAACUGAGGUGCUAGAAGAACAACAGAGACGGAUGCAAGGAGCAAUAGUGUCAAAGCCAGCUCCAUCGGAAGAUAAUUUUGAAAUGAAGGCCACCAAAGCCAUGGGAGCCAUGGAGGAAGGUGAUGCAGUUUUUGGCAAUGUUGCAGAGGUGGAAUCUGGACUCGUGCUUCAUGUCAUCAAUUUUCUCGACUUUGGUUUUGACUUAUUUGAUUUAUAUUUUUUGCUCAGACAACCUCAUACUUGAAUUUAUCCAUGUGGAUUGGGGCUUAUUGGUGGCAUGAUAAGCAUCGACCAAGAAAACCAAAAUCUUCCAACUAUGUGAGCCCCCAACACACAAUUGAAAAGGAUGGGAAUAGCACAGAGACGGAUUCAUCCGACUCCACGCUCGCCCCAUAUGAGGACAUUGUUGGGUCUACUUGAUCAGAAAAUCACUUUUACGCAUAUGUAAAACAUUUUGGCUGCCAUAUGAUUCACAUUGUUUGGUUUAGGAUUGUGUGUAAAGAAUGGGAAUAUUCACACAAAGAAGGGCUUCAGAUACACUUUUGAAAUAGGGAUUUUGCAUGUUUAUUUCAACUUCAAAUCUUACUAGCCUUCAAGUUUU